rnacentral:rRNA from 1 species
GAGCUAAUACAUGCCAACACGCUCGACUUCUGGAAGGGAUGUAUUUAUUAGAUUAAAAACCAAUGCGUUUAACGACGCUUUUCGGUGAUUCAUAAUAACUGUUCGAAUCGCAUGGCCCUCGUGCCGGCGAUGUUUCAUUCGAGUUUCUGCCCUAUCAACUUUCGAUGGUAAGGUAUUGGCUUACCAUGGUGACAACAGGUAACGGAGAAUUAGGGUUCGAUUCCGGAGAGGGAGCCCGAGAAACGGCUACCACAUCCAAGGAAGGCAGCAGGCGCGCAAAUUACCCAAUCCCGACUCGGGGAGGUAGUGACAAUAAAUAACGUUGCGGGCGCCAACGGCCUCUGCAGUCGGAAUGAGUACAAUAUAACACCCUUAACGAGGAACAAUUGGAGGGCAAGUCUGGUGCCAGCAGCCGCGGUAAUUCCAGCUCCAAUAGCGUAUAUUAAAGUUGUUGCAGUUAAAAAGCUCGUAGUUGGAUUUCGGAACCGGCCGAUUGGUCCGUCCUCUGGAUCGUGUACUGAUCGGUCUGUUCUUCUUCGCGAAGACCGCGUGUGCCCUUAACUGGGUGGGCGCGGGAUUCGCGACGUUUACUUUGAAAAAAUUAGAGUGUUCAAAGCAGGCAGUCGCUUGAAUAUCUCAGCAUGGAAUAAUAGAAUAGGACUUUGGUCUUAUUUUGUUGGUUUCCGAGACCGAAGUAAUGAUUAAUAGGGACAGUUGGGGGCAUUCGUAUUUCAUUGUCAGAGGUGAAAUUCUUGGAUUUAUGAAAGACAGACUACA